rnacentral:rRNA from 1 species
UACGGGGGGGGCAAGCGUUGUUCGGAAUUACUGGGCGUAAGGGGCUCGUAGGCGGCCAACUAAGUCAGACGUGAAAUCCCUCGGCUUAACCGGGGAACUGCGUCUGAUACUGGAUGGCUUGAGGUUGGGAGAGGGAUGCGGAAUUCCAGGUGUAGCGGUGAAAUGCGCAGAUAUCGGGAGGAACACCGGUGGCGAAGGCGGUUCUCUGGGCCUUACCUGACACUGAGGAGCGAAAGCGUGGGGAGCGAACAGG